rnacentral:lncRNA from 1 species
UGGCAAGUGUGAGCUAACGUUUUUCGUGUUCUAUAUGCAGAAAUCAAGGUCCAAAUACCGUUCAUGAGAUGUCAGGAGCCCUGAAAUAGUACGAGUUCUGUGUCGGCGUGAUGUUUGUGUCACCUGGGCUUUGCUGAAGAAACUUCCACCUGCGUUAGUAUGGCCCGGCUGCUGUCGUGAGAUGCCCUGUAUUUUGUUGAACUUAAGCUUGAUGCACGUUUCAUCGCUGGAGCUCAGUAGCGUACCAUUGUUAUUCUGCUAUAAGACUGAUCGACAUGGAACUUUUAUUCUGGACAAAACCUUGUUAAUUGGCAUGUACUAGCUGGAAUGUGGCGCGAAACAGCUUAUCUCUAUCUCCCUUUUGAACUGCCGAAACAGCUUCUCAC